rnacentral:misc_RNA from 1 species
UUGCAGUUUUGCUCGCUUUGCCGGAGUUAAUGGUAAAAACACCUGCAAAUCCAAACAAAAAUUGAAAAGGGAAAAGGGGAAGGGACUGGUUCUUUUAGCUCCGGUUCAUCGGAGCUUAGCUGGAAAAAUGGGAAGAAACAAAGGGGUUUUGAUUGUUAUUUGCUGGUAGGAAAGAGGAGGAGAAGAGAGGAUUUAAGAGUUGUUGGCUUGCUCCUGUUCAUGAGAGCUUGGAGCUCCUUGCCGGAGAUCGAAAAGAGCAUGGAGUUUUGUUCGGUUUUUCGUUGGGAUUUUAAGAAGGUUUGAGGUAUGGGGGUGUCUGGAUGUUAUCAUGUUUAUUGAGGGAGAACGGAGAAGAAAGAACGGGGGGUUGAGGGCUGGUUAUUUGUCGGAUAAAUAAAAGAAAAUGAGUAUUUGGGUGGUCAUGGUUGCUGGUAAGAAAUGGAAAAGGAAAUGGAAGAGAGAAGCUAGUUUCAAAAAUUCAUGGAUGUUGGUGGAAAAAUUGUAGUUUACCCAAAAAUUGGGA